UAUUCGGUCCAGUCUGGUCCAGUCCGGGGUGAAAAACCCCCAGACUGGGACCGGACUGAACCCUUUCGGUCUCUUAAAAAUUGGACCGGACCGGACCGGUUCCAAUUUGGUCUGGUCCAAACAGGACUAGUCCGGUCGGUUUAUCUGGUCCGAACCGUCUAAUUCUCAGCCCUACAUAUCUCCCUAAUGAUACAUGGUUCUAAACUUUAAUCAAGGGACAAAGUUAUCAACUAAACUAAAUAAUGCAGAUUAUGAAUUUGUACUUCUUUCGCUGUUUUUUUUUUUUUUUUUUCCUUUUUUGAGUAAAAUGUUACUACGUGGCACCAGGGCCAAGUUGCACUUGGAUUAUUGACAAGAACAUACAAAGAAUAUCAGUGAAGAACAUACAAAGAAUAUCAGAGUAUGACAUAAAGAAAGCAUACCCAGGAUGAAACAGCCAAGAGAGAAUUCAAAUAAAAAUUCCCGUACGCGGGCCCCAAAAUAGAUAUAAAAAAGAAGAGAUACAAGUUUAUGCCUAAUUUAAGGCCGGGAUUCCUGUUAUGCUUUCCACCAAAUUAUUGACUGACAUGCUGGCGUGGCGUCAACACCACUCAAGUUGAGGUGGGAAAUGGAAUAUGUGUGAAUACAGACAGCCCCAGAUUUAACAACAAUGAUGCAUUUAGGAAAAAUAUUCUUUGGAGUAUUUCCAGUACUUAAAGCAUGAAAUGGUUAUAGAUUGCUUUCUUUCCUUGUAAUAUAUUGCUGCUGACCAAUUAGUCCCAGUCUCAAAUACAAUGCACGCACUGAUCUACCAACACAAGAAAGAAUCAUUAAUCAUCCCAAGAAUUUUAUUCAACUAUUCUUGAGAUUUACAUUCAA